GAUUGUAGAUGAAGAGGAGAAAAUGGAAGAGAAAAUUCAAGAACCGAAGAAAAGAGUAGCAAUUGAUCAGGACAAGCUUGUGGAUGAGAACUCAAUGGAAUGUUUUUUAGAGUUCCUUAUUGAAUUCUUCAAUUAACAAUGUGAAGAAAUCCAUUUAUUCAU
ensembl:ncRNA D1054.23 ncRNA